UGCAGAGUGAACAUCCAACCAAUUACGAACAAGCUACCAAACAUAACCAAAGAGACUGCAAAACAAAAACAAAUGGACGUCCAAUUUGAUCGACCCACAACCACUAACACACAGUUGAGUAUCAUAUUGAAUAACCCCCCUUCAAAAUAAAUUUGCCUUCGUAGACAAUCCUAUUUCAAAAAGAGCCAUCAAACAAAAACUGAAAUCUUAAAUCAAAC
rnacentral:lncRNA from 1 species